rnacentral:rRNA from 1 species
GUGGGGAAUAUUGGACAAUGGGGGGAACCCUGAUCCAGCCAUGCCGCGUGUGUGAAGAAGGCCUUUUGGUUGUAAAGCACUUUAAGCGAGGAGGAGGCUACCGAGAUUAAUACUCUUGGAUAGUGGACGUUACUCGCAGAAUAAGCACCGGCUAACUCUGUGCCAGCAGCCGCGGUAAUACAGAGGGUGCAAGCGUUAAUCGGAUUUACUGGGCGUAAAGCGCGCGUAGGUGGCCAAUUAAGUCAAAUGUGAAAUCCCCGAGCUUAACUUGGGAAUUGCAUUCGAUACUGGUUUGCUAGAGUAUGGGAGAGGAUGGUAGAAUUCCAGGUGUAGCGGUGAAAUGCGUAGAGAUCUGGAGGAAUACCGAUGGCGAAGGCAGCCAUCUGGCCUAAUACUGACACUGAGGUGCGAAAGCAUGGGGAGCAAACAGGAUUAGAUACCCUUGUAGUCC